GCCAGCUCCCAGGAGAUGCACUGAGACGACCCUGUGUCCCACACACAGUGGACACCGGGUCCUGCUGCCACACAAGCAGCUUCACUCUGAUGUGCUUCACAUUGUUCCGAGGUGAAUACCAGGAUGUCACUGAGGAGAAGACUGUUGAAACCACCAAACACAUACAUGGUGCUAGGGGGAAAAAGGGAGAGAAUGAAUUUACUGAAAACGUAUGUUACAAAUGCAUGAUACACUUUUACAGACAAAUUUCAGAUAAAUCUUACAUAUCAAAAGUCCUCUAAGAAACUAUUUUUCAAGGUUUAGAAAUCAGUAUAAUUCUCUUACCUACCAAAUUUUACCUUUUCAUCCUGACCUGUGAUCGUCAGAAUAGUUUCAAUAAACCACCUAAAAGCUGCACAUGGCAAUUUAGUAUACAGUGAAUGUUACAUCUUAAAUUAGUAGGGAAAAGAUGGACUUUUCAGUAAAUGGUUUCAAGAUAACUAAACAUAUGAAAAAGAUAAAACUGAAGCCCUUUCUCACUCUAUAUACCAGGAUAAAUUCCAAAGGGAUCAGAGAUUCACCUGAAAAAAGAAAUAACAUAAGUUCUAGAAGAAAAAAUGGGCAACUUUUCUAUAACCUGAGAGUAGGAAAAACCUCCAUAUGACUUAAAAUCCAAAAGGUAGGAGAGAAUCAAUAUAGAGAGUGCUUGAGUAACUUUAUAGGUAAAAAAUAGAAAAUUACAUUAAGCACAUGAAGAGGAGAUAUGCUCAAUAUUAGUCACAAGAGAAAUUCAAACUAAAACUAUAAUUAUGUAGCAUGUUUCAUCUAUCAGAUUUGCAAAGAAAAAGACCACAAAGAUGGGUAAGGAUGUGGGCCAACAGACAUAUGCAUACUCUGCUGUUGGGCUUGUAAAAUAGUACUAACCUACAGAGAGGAAUUUGUCAAUUUCUAACAAAAUUACCAUUUACCUUCUGAACCUGAAAUCACUUUUCUAGAGGUCUAUUACAAAGAUAUUAUAGCAAAAAAAAAAGAAAGAAAGAAAGACACAUGAAGCAAUUCAUUAAAUGAUUGUAAUAAUAAUAGGAAAAGAUUCUAACAAACCAAAAUGUCUAUCAACUGGGAUGUGAAGAAUAAGCUAUGAUACACCCACAUGAUGAAACACUAGGCAUCUGUAAAAAGGAAUGAGGAAAUUUCUAUACAUUCCUUCUGAAGUGAUCUUCAAUAUAUAUUAUAUGGGGAGGGGGAGCCAUGCAGAGAAUAGCAUAUAGAGUAUGUGGUCAUUAAUCUAUUGAGGGAAGAAGUGGAUCAAACACACAAGCACAUAGAAUUCUCUCUUUUUUAAAUAUUUAUUUUUUAGCUUUAGGUGGACACAAUAUCUUUAUUUUAUUUUUAUGUGGUGCUGAGGAUCGAACCCAGUGCCUCACGCAUGCUAGGCAAGCGCACUACUACUUGAGUCAUAUCCCUCUUUUUUUUUUUUUAAAGAAAAAUAAGAACCACACAAUUUCUCUUUAAGUAGUCUUAAAAAACCAACCCAGUAGCACUGAAUAUGACCAUGACUUAGAUUGUGGUAUUUAAAAACCAUUCUCCUUGACCCACCCUAAUUAGAAAAAAAAUCUAAUGUCAUGUCUGGAUAAAGAAAUGCUCAUAGUGAAAUUUGUAAGAUCUUCUUAGACCAGAAAGACAGACUAAGGUAGUGUCACAAAGACUCAAGAGCUACCAUGAAGAGGUGCUCACUGGCCGCAGAGGGGAAGUAUUUGAAACUUAAUAAGAAUAAUAAUUACAAUUCACAAUAGCCAAGUCAUGCCUAGAAGCCUAUUAACAGACAAAUGUAUAAAGAAAACGUGGUAUAUCUACAUAAUUGAAUUUUACUCAGCCAUAAAGAAGAAGGCAAUUAUGUUAUUUACUAGUAAAUAGACAGAACUGGAAAACAUCACGCUAAGUGAAAUAAACCAGAUUCAGAAAGUCAAAAGUUGAAUGUUUUCUCUCAUUUGUGGAAGCUAGAGAGAAAAAAGGAAUAAAAAAGGGGGACCGCAUGAAAACAGAAGGGUGAACAGUGGAGAAAAGGAAGGGGAUUGAUGGGGAGGGAGGAAAGAUGGAAAAGGGAAGGAACUUCAGAAUGAAAUUAACCAAAUUAUGUGCACAUAUGAAUGUAUCACAAUGAAUUCCAUUUUUAUGUAUAAUUUUAAUGCACCAAUAAAAAAUAGAUAACUAGAGGGAAGACCAGUAGAGGAAGGAGACCAGGGAGGGAGGAAGAGGAAAGGGAGACAUAUUGAAGUGGAGCAAAUUAUGUUACAUGCAAACAUGGAUGUCAAAAUGAACCCCACUAUUAUGUGUGACUAUAAUGCCCUGGUAAAAACAUAAAAGUAAAAAAAUAUAUAUACUUUUAAAAGAGGAAUUACAAAGCAUAUGAUUCUUUUUAAACCUUGAGUUCACUAUAAUACAUAUCUCCUAACCCAAAAGAUAAAACUUCAUUUUUCACGUGUGGACAAUGCAAAGAAAACAGUUCAUUAUUUUCAAAAUUGGUAAAUAAAGAGAAACAAUCAACCUUAUGAAGUGGUCUUGCCAUAAUCACGAAGUGAAUCUGACUGUGCUAAUUUGCGGGAAGUUCAGGUGAGAUACUGAUGUAGGUCAGCUGAGGCUGGCACCUGAGGAAUUAGCAGGAAGCAGAUUUAUUGGCUGCAGGGUCCAGAGGGGCUAUUGCCUAACGCUCUCCAGACCAGGAGCCUAGAAAUUCUUUGAACUUUACACCCAGAGGUGGGUGUGGGAUUGGAGGUUCACAUUUUUGCUAGAUUCUACAUAAAAGUAAUUUUUUUCCUUUGAGUUCUCAGAAAGUGCUUUUUGUCUUGUUUUUUAGAACAGUCAGAGGUUUACACAUUUUACCACAAAAGCAGGAAUAACAUCAUCAAGUCCACAGUUAAACUUAGCUUUUGCAAGACAGAGGAACAGGAAAUCUC
rnacentral:lncRNA from 1 species